UACGGAGUGUGCAAGCGUUACUCGGAAUCACUGGGCAUAAAGCGCGCGUAGGCGGGUAUUCAAGUCGGUUGUGAAAUCCCCCAGCUCAACUGGGGAACUGCAUCCGAUACUGUCUGUCUUGAGGACGAGAGGGGAGAGUGGAACUUCUGGUGUAGCGGUGAAAUGUGUAGAGAUCGGGAGGAACACCGGUGGCGAAGGCGGGUCUCUGGGCAAUUCCUGACGCUGAGGCGCGAAAGCGUGGGGAGCAAACGGG
rnacentral:rRNA from 1 species